rnacentral:rRNA from 1 species
AUUGAACGCUGGCGGCAGGCCUAACACAUGCAAGUCGAGCGGAUGAAGGGAGCUUGCUCCUGGAUUCAGCGGCGGACGGGUGAGUAAUGCCUAGGAAUCUGCCUGGUAGUGGGGGAUAACGUCCGGAAACGGGCGCUAAUACCGCAUACGUCCUGAGGGAGAAAGUGGGGGAUCUUCGGACCUCACGCUAUCAGAUGAGCCUAGGUCGGCUUAGCUAGUUGGUGGGGUAAAGGCCUACCAAGGCGACGAUCCGUAACUGGUCUGAGAGGAUGAUCAGGCACACUGGAACUGAGACACGGUCCAGACUCCUACGGGAGGCAGCAGUGGGGAAUCUUGGACGAUGGGCGAAAGCCUGAUCCAGCCAUGCCGCGUGUGUGAAGAAGGUCUUCGGAUUGUAAAGCACUUUAAGUUGGGAGGAAGGGCAGUAAGUUAAUACCUUGCUGUUUUGACGUUACCAACAGAAUAAGCACCGGCUAACUUCGUG